GUCAUACGCACAUAGUCUCUCUUUGCCAGAUCCUCCUCCAAAGCACGCUGGAGGGGAGUCUGGCUACUCCACAUAGCAUUC